CGUAAACUUUAGGGGUGCUGAAAUGCUCGGCUGAGAAAUACCCUUUGAACCUGAACAGGAUAAUACCUGCGAUAGGGAAAAGUUGAAAACUAUAA
rnacentral:ncRNA from 2 species